AACGAACGCUGGCGGCAUGCCUAACACAUGCAAGUCGAACGAGACCUUCGGGUCUAGUGGCGCACGGGUGCGUAACGCGUGGGAACCUGCCCUUAGGUUCGGAAUAACUCCCCGAAAGGGGUGCUAAUACCGGAUAAUGUCUUCGGACCAAAGAUUUAUCGCCUUUGGAUGGGCCCGCGUUGGAUUAGCUAGUUGGUAGGGUAAAAGCCUACCAAGGCGACGAUCCAUAGCUGGUCUGAGAGGAUGAUCAGCCACACUGGGACUGAGACACGGCCCAGACUCCUACGGGAAGCAGCAGUGGGGAAUAUUGGACAAUGGGCGAAAGCCUGAUCCAGCAAUGCCGCGUGAGUGAUGAAGGCCUUAGGGUUGUAAAGCUCUUUUACCCGGGAUGAUAAUGACAGUACCGGAAGAAUAAGCUCCGGCUAACUCCGUG
rnacentral:rRNA from 1 species